rnacentral:rRNA from 1 species
UACGUAGGGUGCGAGCGUUAAUCGGAAUUACUGGGCGUAAAGCGUGCGCAGGCGGUUUUGUAAGCCGGAUGUGAAAUCCCCGGGCUUAACCUGGGAAUGGCAUUCGGGACUGCAAGGCUGGAGUGCGGCAGAGGAGACUGGAAUUCCUGGUGUAGCAGUGAAAUGCGUAGAUAUCAGGAGGAACACCAGUGGCGAAGGCGAGUCUCUGGACAAUUCCUGACGCUGAGGCACGAAAGCCAGGGGAGCAAACGGG